rnacentral:lncRNA from 1 species
GGGCUGAUCGGGCACCUGUCGCCGCGGGCAACCCUCGCUAUGUGUUCGAAUCCAACCCAGUCCGCCGAGGUGGCCCCUUCCAGUACCCAGGGGAGUGCUUUCUACAUUGUUCGUGCUGAAUACAUUUUCAUGGAGUGGAAGCAAUUUAUCUUCAGGUGGUUUGUCUCUGUAUCCACUCCUUUAUUCUGCAGUUUGAGUCAGGGAAAGAACAGGUAAGUGUUUAAUCUAUAUUCUGAACUAAUUUUGAAGGAAGAAGCAGGUGAAGGUUGGGCAGAGGAUGAACAUUCACUACAUACUUUGGCAUUAGUGGAGUCUCUUUUUAAUGUAAAUACUCAAUGAAGAAUAUUCCUACUUUGAAUCAAAAGCAUCCAAACAGGGCUUAAGUAAACCUUUGUUUUGAGGUUAUAGACUAAAUCUUUUUUGUUUGUUUGUUUUUACAUUAGAGACUAUCAUAAAACAAAUGGACUAAAUCUUUAACCACAGUAUGAAAAUAAGAAGAAGGAAGAGAAUAUGGAAGGCUCAGGGCAACCUAUUCACUAUUUCUGGGAAAAUACUUGUCUUAUUGCACAAAGGAAUAGUUCAGUAUUUGAAACCAUAGGCAAAAGGUAGGGUCAGUUGGCUAUUAACGUGAAAACUGAGCUAAUUCAAAUCUCCUGGCCACCUCUAGUGUUUUAAGCACUCACUUCUAGUUUGUAAAGAAAACUCCUGACUAUGAAAAGUUACUAGAAAUUAUAUCUUUGGCUGGCACCAGUGGCUCACACCUGUAAACCCAGCACUGUUGGAGGCUAAGGCAGGCAGAUCACCUGAACCCAGGAGUUCGAGACCUGCUUGGGUGAAACCCUGUAUCUACUAGAAAUACAAAAAUUAGCGG